rnacentral:piRNA from 1 species
AUGUGUUUUGGCCUGCAUGAUGAC